UAGGGAAUCUUCGGCAAUGGACGGAAGUCUGACCGAGCAACGCCGCGUGAGUGAAGAAGGUUUUCGGAUCGUAAAGCUCUGUUGUAAGAGAAGAACGAGUGUGAGAGUGGAAAGUUCACACUGUGACGGUAUCUUACCAGAAAGGGACGGCUAACUACGUGCCAGCAGCCACGGUAAUACGUAGGUCCCGAGCGUUGUCCGAAUUUAUUGGGCGUAAAGCGAGCGCAGGCGGUUAGAUAAGUCUGAAGUUAAAGGCUGUGGCUUAACCAUAGUACGCUUUGGAAACUGUUUAACUUGAGUGCAAGAGGGGAGAGUGGAAUUCCAUGUGUAGCGGUGAAAUGCGUAGAUAUAUGGAGGAACACCGGUGGCGAAAGCGGCUCUCUGGCUUGUAACUGACGCUGAGGCUCGAAAGCGUGGGGAGCAAACAGGAUUAGAUACCCUGGUAGUCCACGCCGUAAACGAUGAGUGCUAGGUGUUAGACCCUUUCCGGGGUUUAGUGCCGCAGCUAACGCAUUAAGCACUCCGCCUGGGGAGUACGACCGCAAGGUUG
rnacentral:rRNA from 1 species